rnacentral:lncRNA from 1 species
AGGAGAGAAGAAAAAGGAAGGAAGGAGAGAAGAAUAAGGAAGGAAGGAGAGAAGAAAAAGGAAGGAAGGAGAGAAGAAAAAGAAAGGAAGGAAGGAAGGAGAGAAGAAAAAGAAAGGAAGGAAGGAAGGAGAGAAGAAAAAGAAAGGAAGGAAGGAAGGAGAGAAGAAAAAGAAAGGAAGGAAGGAAGGAGAGAAGAAAAAGAAAGGAAGGAAGGAAGGAAGGAAG